CAAUCUUAAUUAUCCUGAAAUACGAAUAGAAUGAGACCCACUGAUUAUUGAACAUUGAAUUUCUGAUAAAUAUUGAUUAAGUCAGUGAGAUUGAGAGAUGGUUUUCUUUAUUUUUUUUUUUCUUUUUCAGGGAAGAAUUUGAAGGCACACUUUAAUUCAUGGAGGUGCCAAGUGGAAGUUUGUGGUAGAUUGAGAUUUAGAACUCAAGAUUCAAGAACUCUCCUUUGCAUAUCGGAUAGUAACAGGCAUUAAAGGGUGCUCUGAGGACCUAGAAUAUGACAGAAGAAAAGAACCAUGUGUCUCAAUUCCAUAAAGAAGGGUCCUGGUUACACACAUCAAGCUGUGAUGUAUACAAGAAAUACACUUGUCUGUGUGUUAAACCACUGCAGUUUGGUGUAGUUUGCUUUUUUGCUUUACUGAUGAUUGAGAAAUUCAAAAGAAGAGAAAUCUAGGAACUGUUUCAGCAUCACUCAUCGAUUAUUAUCCCAUGCUUAAAAAUGACCAAAAUAAUAAGGAAAUGGACAAAGAAUGGAAUCACCCAGAAGGAUCAUGCAAGGAUCAUUACUGUUUUAUCAUCUGUAA